rfam:Salmo salar isolate Sally breed double haploid chromosome ssa23, whole genome shotgun sequence.
GUCCCUGUGGCUCAGUUGGUAGAGCAUGGUGUGUGCAACGCCAGGGUUGUGGGGUUCGAUUCCCACGGGGGGCC